AAAUUGGGAAAGAAGGUGAGAAAAGGUUGAAAGCACGCGACCACAAUGCAGUGAAGGUGAAGGGAAAAUGAUGGUGGUUGUUGUUCUUACAGAUGCCUGGCGCGGCUCGCUUAUGAGACCCUUUCGUUUCCACAACUACCCUUUUUCCCACACGCCCUCUCUCUCCACUUCUAAUUAUAUUGCUUUCUCUCUCUAACAUUGUCGGAGAACACACACUCUUUUUUUUUCUCUCUCUCUCUCUUCUUCACACUUUCUUUCUCGAGCAACUGAAUUCGUCUCCGAUUCGCUCUCCUCUGCGUCUCUCUGUUACAACGCUGCUUCCCCAUGGAAGCAGGGGAAGAUUGCUGCGUUAAGGUCGCGGUCCAUGUUCGGCCACUCAUCGCCGAUGAGAAGCUUCAAGGAUGCAAAGAUUGCGUCACCGUCGUUUCUGGGAAGCCGCAGGUACAAAUUGGUGCUCACUCCUUUACAUUUGAUCAUGUUUAUGGAAGCACUGGUUCUCCCUCAAGUGCCAUGUUUGAAGAAUGUGUUGCUCCCCUUGUUGAUGGUUUGUUUCAAGGAUAUAACGCUACUGUUCUCGCUUAUGGUCAGACAGGUUCUGGGAAAACGUACACCAUGGGAACUGGCUUUAAAGAUGGUUGCCAAACAGGAAUAAUACCUCAAGUUAUGAACGUUUUGUUUAGCAAAAUUGGGACCCUAAAGCACCAGAUUGAUUUUCAGUUGCAUGUGUCUUUUAUUGAGAUUCUUAAAGAAGAAGUAAGAGACUUGUUGGACCCCUCGUCCAUGAACAAACCAGAAACUGCAAAUGGACAUUCAGGAAAAAUUACCUCUCCUGGGAAGCCACCAAUACAAAUUCGUGAGACAUCAAAUGGUGUCAUCACCCUUGCAGGAUCCACUGAAGUCAGUGUUACAACACUAAAGGAAAUGGCUGCUUGCCUGGAACAGGGAUCAUUGAGCAGGGCAACUGGGAGCACAAAUAUGAACAACCAAUCCAGUCGAUCUCAUGCCAUCUUCACCAUCACCCUAGAACAAAUGCGAAAGCUGAAUAGUCCUGGUGAGAGUGGUUUAAAUGAUACCAUGAAUGAAGAGUAUCUUUGUGCCAAGUUACACUUAGUAGAUCUUGCUGGAUCAGAACGAGCUAAAAGAACAGGGUCUGAUGGUCUGCGUUUUAAGGAAGGAGUUCACAUUAACAAAGGCCUUCUAGCCCUUGGCAAUGUUAUUAGUGCACUUGGUGAUGAAAAGAAGCGAAAGGAAGGUGUUCAUGUUCCUUAUAGGGAUAGUAAGCUUACUAGGCUUUUGCAGGAUUCACUAGGAGGUAACAGCAGAACUGUCAUGAUUGCUUGUAUAAGUCCUGCUGAUAUUAAUGCUGAGGAAACCCUUAACACUUUGAAGUACGCAAAUCGUGCACGCAAUAUCCAAAAUAAGCCUGUUAUCAAUAGAGACCCCAUGUCCAAUGAGAUGCUAAAAAUGCGACAACAGCUAGAGUAUUUGCAGGCAGAACUUUGUGCUCGAGCUGGUGGCUCUUCUGAGGAAGUUCAGGUCCUUAAGGAAAGAAUUGCUUGGCUUGAAGCUGCUAAUGAAGAUCUUUGCCGUGAACUUCAUGAAUACCGUAGUAGAUGUUCUAUUGCAGAACCAGGUGAAAGGGAAGCUUAUGAUGGUAACACAUACAUUGUGAAGACUGAUGCAAUUAAGAGGAGCUUACCUAUCAUAGAAGCUGAGUAUCCAAUGAGUGAAACAGUGGCAGGUGAUUCUAGGGAAAUAGAAGAAGUAGCAAAAGAGUGGGAGCACACACUUCUGCAGAAUAGUAUGGAUAGAGAGUUACAUGAAUUGAAUAAACGCUUGCAACAGAAAGAGUCCGAGAUGAAGCUUUUUGGAAUAUCUGAUGCCGAAGUACUCAAGCAGCAUUUUGGUAGAAAGAUAACGGAAUUGGAAGAUGAGAAGAGAGUAGUGCAGCGAGAGAGAGAUUGUCUUUUGGCAGAAGUUGAAAAUCUCGCUGCCAAUUCUGAUGGACAAACACAGAAAUUAGAGGAUAUUCACGCCCAAAAAUUGAAAGCACUUGAAGCACAGAUUAUGGAUCUGAAGAAGAAGCAAGAGAGUCAGGUCCAGCUUCUGAAGCAAAAGCAAAAAAGUGAUGAAGCAGCAAAGAGACUGCAAGAUGAAAUACAGUGUAUAAAGGCUCAAAAGGUUCAAUUGCAGCAAAGGAUAAAACAAGAAUCGGAACAGUUUCGGCAGUGGAAGGCUUCAAGAGAGAAAGAGUUGUUGCAAUUAAAGAAGGAGGGAAGAAGAAAUGAGUAUGAAAGACACAAGCUGCAAGCUUUAAAUCAGCGGCAGAAAUUGGUUCUUCAGAGAAAAACUGAAGAAGCUGCGAUGGCUACCAAGAGGUUAAAGGAGUUGUUAGAAGCACGUAAAACUUCCGGCCGAGAGACUUCAGUUACAACGAAUGGAAGUGGAACAAAUGCUCAGAGCAAUGAGAAGUCUUUACAACGGUGGCUUGAUCAUGAGCUAGAAGUUAUGGUAAAGGAGCACGAAGUCCGUUUUGAGUAUGAGAAACAGAGCCAAGUGCGAGCUGCCCUUGCAGAUGAAUUAGCCAUGCUGAAGCAAGUAAAUGAGUUUGCUGCAAAGGGUCUCAGUCCUCCAAGAAAGAAUGGAUUUGCCAGGGCAUCCUCCAUGUCACCAAAUGCAAGAAUGGCCAGAAUAGCUUCCCUUGAGAACAUGCUGAGUAUAUCAUCUAAUUCACUUGUUGCAAUGGCUUCUCAACUUUCUGAGGCAGAAGAACGAGAAAGAGCCUUCUCUAAUCGUGGACGCUGGAAUCAAUUGCGUUCAAUGGGAGAAGCGAAGAAUUUGCUUCAAUAUAUGUUUAAUUCUGUUGCAGAUGCUAGGUGCCAACUCUGGGAGAAGGACAUGGAGAUCAGGGAAAUGAAAGAUCAAAUAAAAGAACUCGUUGGUCUCUUACGGCAAAGUGAGAUGAAGAGAAAAGAAGUUGAGAAGGAACUAAAAGUGAGAGAACAAGCUAAUGGAAGCACACUGGCUACACCACCUUCGGGUGACUCCCCUAAUCCAUUGAAACAACAAGCUGAAGACAUGAAAGGGCCUUUAUCUCCAAUGUCUAUGCCAGUGCCUAAACAGCUAAAAUACACGCCAGGGGUUGCCAAUGGGUUGGUGAGGGAAUCGGCAGCAUUUGUAGAUCAGGGUAGAAGGAUGAUACCCAUCGGACACCUGUCAAUGAAAAAACUAGCAAUGGUAGGACAAGCUUCUGGAAAGUUAUGGAGGUGGAAAAGAAGUCAUCACCAGUGGCUGCUACAAUUCAAGUGGAAAUGGCAGAAACCAUGGAGACUUUCAGAAUGGAUACGACAUAGUGAUGAGACGAUCAUGAGAACAAAACCACGCUCACAGGCUUUGCCACGUAUCAGGUGAUCUGUUUUAGGAUCAGCCUAUUCAUGUGGCUCGGUAUUUUUCGAACCACAAAAAUUAUCCUAGAUACAUGGCAUUGGAAAUAACAGAGCACUAGGUACAGUGUAAUAUAAUUGGUUGCUGAAGCAAUGUAUAUACCUGCCAGUCUUGAAUAAUGCUGUCCAGAUCUUUGGAAAUUUUGCCAUAAUUUUGUGCAUAGGGAUGAUCUUGGAGGUAUGUUGCAAUGUAAUGUUUGGACAGCGCACCCAAAUAAUGAAAAACAAAGAUGUCGCUUGCUUGAAGACAAUCGUAGAUUCUGGACAGACAAACUAUCUUGGAAAAUAGUCUGUUCAUACUAACAGUACAAGAAACAAAGGAAAGAAUUUUUUGUCAAGUCUUGGGAAGCUUAUUGUGUAUGUUAUUCUUUAUUGCAAGCUCUUACGGUCCUAUUGUGUUUAAGAAAAUUGAUUUUUGUUUAUAGGUUCUAUUUUGUAGCAUUUGUCACAUAACAGAAGGAAAUUCCUGGGUAGUUUUUUAGUUCUCUAGUGCUUCGUGUGUGUAAAGAAAGUUAGCUGCUAUAUUGAAAGAUAUUUUACCAUACAGAUUGUAUUAUAAUAACGUAAGCUACUGUUUCAUCUUA